rnacentral:rRNA from 1 species
GCUAGUAAUCGCGAAUCAGAAUGUCGCGGUGAAUACGUUCCCGGGCCUUGUACACACCGCCCGUCACACCAUGAGAGUCGAUAACACCCGAAGCCUGUGAGCUAACCGCAAGGAGGCAGCAGUCGAAGGUGGGGUUGAUGAUUGGGGUGAAGUCGUAACAAGGUAAC